rnacentral:rRNA from 1 species
CACGUAGGGGGCAAGCGUUGUCCGGAUUUAUUGGGCGUAAAGAGCUCGUAGGUGGUUCGGUAAGUCGGGUGUUAAACCCCCAGGCUCAACCUGGGGACGCCACUCGAUACUGCUGUGACUAGAGUCCGGUAGGGGAGCGUGGAAUUCCUGGUGUAGCGGUGAAAUGCGCAGAUAUCAGGAGGAACACCGGUGGCGAAGGCGGUUCUCUGGGCAUGUUCUGACGCUGAGGAGCGAAAGUGUGGGGAGCGAACAGG